rnacentral:rRNA from 1 species
UACGUAGGGGGCAAGCGUUGUCCGGAUUCAUUGGGCGUAAAGAGCGUGUAGGCGGCCAGGUAGGUCGGUUGUGAAAACUCGAGGCUUAACCUCGAGAUGUCGGCGGAAACCAUCUGGCUAGAGUCCGGAAGAGGAGAGUGGAAUUCCUGGUGUAGCGGUGAAAUGCGCAGAUAUCAGGAAGAACACCCGUGGCGAAGGCGGCUCUCUGGGACGGUACUGACGCUGAGACGCGAAAGCGUGGGGAGCGAACAGG